rnacentral:sRNA from 1 species
CACAUUGCCACGUGCAUUCUUUCACUUCUUUUUUUCACUCAAAAUGGACGGUCGAGUUUUCUGCUUUGAUUCUCAACUAAAAUUUAAUAAGAUGGAUGAUGUGCGGUAGCAGGAACAAUCUCUGAAAAUAGCAAUGGAAAAGAACAAUUUUCAAGGUUUUCUACCACAUUUAUCCACACGUGUCCAAAAGUAAGAUUCCAUUUGAAAGUGUAUUAAAAUGCACAUGGCUUACGAGAAGAUAGACGGAAGCAAAAUAAGAUGAGCAGAAAAAGGUGCUCACGAAUGCCUGAGAAAUGGAAAUGUUUAGAACUAAAUUCAGAGAUCUUGGUUGGACUGCGUAACAAUAAUGGGCACAUCAGAAAAUGAGUAACAAAACUCCAAAUUGUUUUCAAUUGACCGAAAUAUGCAAUCCACUAAACCAUCUGGAUUUCUUCUCAGAACAAUGGCUACCAAUGGAAACUAGAAGUGCAGACGAAUUCGGGAUUAUAAGAAAUAUCUUGUUCUCUCGUUGUAUUGCACACGAAAAAUCGUUUUCCGGCUAUGUAGUUUGACGGCAAAGCAAGGAGAAAUGCGUAAAUAUCAUCAUAAAAUUUCAUGAAAAAAUGAUAUCUGCGCACUAAAUCAAUCAAGCUUUGAAGGAAUUUAGGUGAUUAGAAAGAUUCACAAAGAUAGGAACAUUUCCAAAUUAUACCCAGUGGAGGAUGCCUUAAAAAGUUUUAAGAUAUUCACACUUUCUGAAGUACACAAAUAGCAAUUGAUUUUUAGUACAAGAUAUCUUAGGAUUGCCAGUGGAGCAGAAUAUUUACCCGUCAACCUUAUUAAGACUUCACCAUUUAUUGGAUCGAUCUUAUCGAGUUGCUAAAACAUCCAUUAACGUAGAAAUGCUUAAAAGGCUACCUGGCUUUAGGCUUUGUGAAUCAACUGAACUUUGUGGUAUCAUGCGGAUUGCGAAGAUCAAACACCUCACUCUGAACUCUGAAAACCAAACUGUUGUAGUCAUUUGAAGAAAUAAAAACUCAAGAGAUACUGUUUAAUAUAA